AAUUGACCAUAUUAGUUUAAUCUCCAUCUAAAACACCAUAAAUAAUAAUUAUUCAGUCCUCUUACCUUACUCACUGCUGUCUGUAUUUCACAGGGCCAAUGCUGAUGCCCAAGGACGUUGGCCGUUGUGUCUACAGGCUGGAUGUCAUGGGCUCAUCUGGAAUGAUAGACGGCAGCUGAGCUUGAGCAGCCUGUGGCUGGGUAUCCGGGGGAGUCACUACCCACACCCACACCUGCCCUUUGUCUCCAUCACAUUUGGUCUGAUCACCACCUUUUGUAUGCAUUCCCUCCGACUCCGAUGUCAAUCAUGUAACAUUUAAUAACACUUUAUUAAAAGUAACUUGCUAGCAAACCUGUAUUGGACUUAAAUUAUUUUUCUUCAACAAAUGGUGCCGUGACCUGGAUGGCAACAUACUUCCAAGGACACUCUUCUUCCAGACCAAGGACACACCAGUAAACUAAGAAUCCAAAUUUCAGAGGUGAGGGGUCCUUUUGAAAACCCAGUUGCAGUUGCUGUGUGUCGGAGGUCUGUGAAGCUGGAGUACCAAAGAAGUUGAUGCCAUCCAAUUUUGAAGUAAAGUUGCUGUGUGGUUGUUGUGCAGAUGAGUUCCCUGGGUUUCCUCUGUUGGCAAAUUGCUUAGGAAUGUCUGCAGAUUUUAUGUGUAUACCUCUUCCUUGCCAUAGGAUUUGACUCGCUCUCCUAUAGGUUAUGGCUUUUUAUUAAAUAGAUACAGGAAACACUGAAAUGGCCAUUAAAUGAAAGACCAGAUAGUUGAAUCCUGUGAAAGACCAGGUAUAUACUAGUCCAAAAGGUUCUGAAAAGGACUGUCCGCAGUGUAGGGAACACUGUCCAGUGGUGACGUCGCAGUGUGGGGUAUACUGCCAGUGUGUGGAACACUGUUUAGAGAAUAGGACUAUGCAGGGUCGGGUUGGGGUAAGAAAAGCAGAGAUCUUGUUUUUUGUAGGGAUUUGACCCGCUCUCCUUGCACAAAAGAAAUGAUUUGUAUCCUCUGAAUGGAAUGUUGAUGGAAAGAAUUGGGAACUGAAUUGUGGGCAAAAGUAAGUGUAUAAGCAGAGAUAUAUCUUGUUUUUUGUAGGGAUUUGACUCAAUGCACAAAUGAUUUGUAUCUUCUGAGUAGAGUGUUUUUUGAGGGAUCUCAUGGAAAAGAAAAUGGGAAGUUAUUUCAGUAGAGGGACAGAGAAGGAUUUUACCGGCCCUGUAAGUACACGUACAAGAACUAUGGUAACGAUUGCAUUCAAAUUUGUUGCAACACACACAAAAAACAAGAAACAGUAAAAUAAAUGUUGAAAGAACAACAUUUAUAACAAAGGAAAAGUUACGAAGUAACUAGAAGAAACAGAUUAAAAGUAAGACUCUACUCUUAAAAUAUAAGAAUAAACAAAGAAAACUCUUCCUUAACUUCUUAAAACCUAGUUAGUAGCACAAAUAAAAUAAAAAACACAACGAAGAGUCAAACUUUAAAAGUGCAACAAUUCGAAAACUAGAGAACAAAGGAACAACGCAAAGCUUAAGAAAAUUAUUAAAAUUAUUAAGUCUUCCCGGAAGCACUAAAACAAACAACAUGAUUUAAUCAAGAGAUUUAAUCUUGUCUUACUGUUUUUUGUAUGUUUGUGAUUUAAUGUUUAAUAAGUCGGCUACUUGCAUGUGUAUGUUUUUUUUCUUUCCAAUGUCCAAUGUCUUUCCAAAGACACACACUAAUGUAUGGUAAA
rnacentral:lncRNA from 15 species